UACGUAGGCAGCGAGCGUUGUCCGGAGUUACUGGGCGUAAAGGGUGUGUAGGCGGUUGCUUAAGUUUGGUGUGAAAUCUCCCGGCUCAACUGGGAGGGUGCGCCGAAUACUGAGUGACUCGAGUGCGGGAGAGGAAAGUGGAAUUCCAGGUGUAGCGGUGAAAUGCGUAGAUAUCUGGAGGAACACCGGUGGUGUAGACGGCUUCUGGACCGUAACUGACGCUGAGACACGAAAGCGUGGGUAGCAAACAGG
rnacentral:rRNA from 1 species